rnacentral:rRNA from 1 species
UGGGGAAUUUUGGACAAUGGGCGAAAGCCUGAUCCAGCAAUGCCGCGUGCAGGAUGAAGGCCUUCGGGUUGUAAACUGCUUUUGUACGGAACGAAAAAGCUCCUUCUAAUACAGGGGGCCCAUGACGGUACCGUAAGAAUAAGCACCGGCUAACUACGUGCCAGCAGCCGCGGUAAUACGUAGGGUGCGAGCGUUAAUCGGAAUUACUGGGCGUAAAGCGUGCGCAGGCGGUUAUGUAAGACAGAUGUGAAAUCCCCGGGCUCAACCUGGGAACUGCAUUUGUGACUGCAUGGCUAGAGUACGGUAGAGGGGAUGGAAUUCCGCGUGUAGCAGUGAAAUGCGUAGAUAUGCGGAGGAACACCGAUGGCGAAGGCAAUCCCCUGGACCUGUACUGACGCUCAUGCACGAAAGCGUGGGGAGCAAACAGGAUUAGAUACCCUGGUAGUCCACGCCCUAAACGAUGUCAACUGGUUGUUGGGAAUUAGUUUUCUCAGUAACGAAGCUAACGCGUGAAGUUGACCGCCUGGGGAGUACGGCCGCAAGGUUG